rnacentral:rRNA from 1 species
AACGAACGCUGGCGGCAGGCUUAACACAUGCAAGUCGAACGCGUGUAGCAAUACACGAGUGGCGCACGGGUGAGUAACACGUGGAUAUCUGCCUUUUGGUUCGGAAUAACCCUGGGAAACUAGGGCUAAUACCGAAUGGUUCCUACGGGAUAAAGAUUUAUCGCCAAAAGAUGAGUCCGCGUCCGAUUAGCUAGUUGGUGAGGUAACGGCUCACCAAGGCGACGAUCGGUAGCUGGCUGAGAGGACGAUCAGCCACACUGGGACUGAGACACGGCCCAGACUCCUACGGGAGGCAGCAGUGGGGAAUAUUGGACAAUGGGGGCAACCCUGAUCCAGCCAUGCCGCGUGAGUGAUGAAGGCC